rnacentral:sRNA from 1 species
GACCAGCUUUUUUCUCAGCGAAAAGGCUCAAGGCCAUACGGACAGCCGGGUCAAACUGCCGA